GAUGGAUGAAUAUCCAAAUCAUCUGGAUUGCUUCAAGAUCUAUAUAAGCGGAAGAAUAUUUGGAUCAUCUAUUAGUACUUUUGAGAUCUGUGUAGAUGGAUAAAUAACCAUAAUCACCCACUAAUCAUUUUGAGAUCUACAUAAAAAGAUGAAUAAUAUGGAUCAUCUAUGCAUCGUGUGCUGAUUAAGAACCUACAGCAUCCACUAGUUUCUCUGGUAUCUAUGCAAGCAGAUGGACGAUCUUGGUCAUGCACUAGUUGCUUCGAGAUCUAUAUGGG
rnacentral:lncRNA from 1 species